CCAUGACCAGGUGACCCUGUGACCAGGUGAUCCUGUGACCAGGUGACCCUGUGACCAAGUGAUCCUGUGACCAGGUGACCCUGUGACCAGGUGAUCCUGUGACCAGGUGACCCUGUGACCAGGUGACCCUGUGACCAGAUGAUCCUGUGACCAGGUGACCAGGUGAUCCUGUGACCAGGUGACCAGGUGAUCCUGUGACCAGGUGACCCUGUGACCAGGUGAUCCUGUGACCAGGUGACCAGGUGAUCCUGUGACCAGGUGAUCCUGUGACCAGGUGACCAGGUGAUCCUGUGACCAGGUGAUCCUGUGACCAGGUGACCAGGUGAUCCUGUGACCAGGUGAUCCUGUGACCAGGUGACCCUGUGACCAGGUGAUCCUGUGACCAAGUGAUCCUGUGACCAAGUGAUCCUGUGACCAGGUGACCAGGUGAUCCUGUGACCAGGUGAUCCUGUGACCAAGUGAUCCUGUGACCAGGUGAUCCUGUGACCAAGUGAUCCUGUGACCAGGUGACCAGGUGAUCCUGUGACCAGGUGACCCUGUGACCAGGUGACCAGGAGAUCCUGUGACUAAGUGACCCUGUGACCAAGUGACCCUGUGACCAGGUGACCCUGUGACCAUGUGAUCCUGUG